rnacentral:rRNA from 1 species
CUUGGUCAUUUAGAGGAAGUAAAAGUCGUAACAAGGUUUCCGUAGGUGAACCUGCGGAAGGAUCAUUACCUAGAGUUGUAGGCUUUGCCUGCUAUCUCUUACCCAUGUCUUUUGAGUACCUUACGUUUCCUCGGUGGGUUCGCCCACCGAUUGGACAAACUUAAACCCUUUGCAGUUGAAAUCAGCGUCUGAAAAAACUUAAUAGUUACAACUUUCAACAACGGAUCUCUUGGUUCUGGCAUCGAUGAAGAACGCAGCGAAAUGCGAUAAGUAGUGUGAAUUGCAGAAUUCAGUGAAUCAUCGAAUCUUUGAACGCACAUUGCGCCCCUUGGUAUUCCAUGGGGCAUGCCUGUUCGAGCGUCAUUUGUACCUUCAAGCUCUGCUUGGUGUUGGGUGUUUGUCUCGCCUCUGCGCGCAGACUCGCCUCAAAACAAUUGGCAGCCGGCGUAUUGAUUUCGGAGCGCAGUACAUCUCGCGCUUUGCACUCAUAACGACGACGAUCCAAAAGUACAUUUUUACACUCUUGACCUCGGAUCAGGUAGGGAUACCCGCUGAACUUAAGCAUAUCAAUAAGCGGAGGA